UAUUCAACCUGAAUGUAUGACAUGCGACCAUUUUUCUAUUCCAAUCGCUACCCCUGAUUGAGCGCAACGGCGAGUAAUAAGGCGUAAAAAGCUAUUAGAUUGGCCGACGAGAUCCUCCAUUUCGCGCUCCUUCUAUCCCCUCGUCCUCGAGAGAUCCUCGCGUCUUGAAAGGCUUUCGACUCCGCCGAUGACGUGGACUGGAGCGCGCGAAACGACGGCUGUAAGACCGGUUAUCUCUCUCGGUUGUCAUUCUCUUGUCCGCAUGCGUCCACAUCUCUCCGAUUCACUCGAGCGGCCAUGUUUGCAGCCGAGAAACCGAUCGGUUCUCGGCCGACAUAUCGCUCACUAUGACGAAAAAGAUGCCGAUUGCUCGUAAAGGAAAAAGGCUCGGAAUUUUGCUCGCAGCGUAAUUGUCGAAGCCGAACGCAUCUCGGGCGCACGAAGGAAGAAAACGGAAUUCCUCGCUCUCGGAAAUCGAAUUCGCCUCGUAAUGCGCAAAAUUCCUGGGAGAUGGACGCUGACGUUGAACGGUUGGGGCAAGCCGGCGGCCCUGACGCGACGUGCAGCAGCGACAGAAAAUUCCGCGCGCGCGAGCGAAGGGUCAACAUCGUCUCGUAGUAAUAGACACCGGCGAGAAGAGCGCGGCGGUUUCGCGAAGGUGGCGGCGGAGGUGACGGUCGGGUGGUGGUGGGUGGUGUGGUGCUGCUGUGGGUGGUAGGUCGACCGCGCGGGGACCAGGGAAUAGCCUCGGGGUUAGGGGCUGACGGGUCGAGGCGGGCGGAAAAGGGGCGACUCCGGCAGUCAGCGGGUUAGUGCCGCUCCGUGCGGGCGUCGCGUGUGCGUGCCGCGCACUACCCUCGUGAAAUUCCGCCGAGAGGAGAGUGUGAGGGAGAGAGGGAGAGAGAGAGAGAGGGAGGAGCGAACGAGAGAGCGAGAGAGUUCUCGCGCUCGUUAUCGCGUCGCGGAUCACGUGCCCACGCAUAUUUCGCGCGCGCAACGGGCGCGUUCGGAACGUUCCGCUCCAGCCCUAUCGACCUCGAAGCAGCGGCGAGUUCUCCCGCACGUCGUCGCUCGUUGUCGCAAAUUCCCCGGCGACGGAGAACUGUCGCGCGACUCUCUCUUUCGGCGGUCGCGUCGCGCGAGUGAUCGGCGCGUGUAGCGCAGGAUUACGAAGUGAUUACUGGCGCGACGAAGCCAGGCGGCUGCCGAGCCGCAUCGGUACAGUGUCGUCGUCUGUGCGGUCGAGGAAGAAGCUGUGUUCGUCGAGGACGCUCGCUAGGAUGAUCCGCGGCUAAUCCCGCGGAGUGUCGCCCGACGCCUGCGAAUCUUACCGUGCUCGCGAUUUUAGUGCGCCAAGCGCGCAACGACGCGAGAAGAGAGUUACGAGAGUGAGUCCCGGCGCGUUGUGAACGCGCGGACUUUUGACAGUGCCACCCCGCGAAGCGUGAAGAAGCUUUUACGCACGUUUUACGGAGAGGUCCGCUCGUGACGUGACUUUCGUCUCUCCGCUGCGAACGCAAGACGCGACGGCGUUACCGUUGCGUUGUUAUCCGAGACGCGAGCUCCUUGGAAAGCUCGCGCGCGAUUAAUGAGGGAGAAAUUUCUUGUCGUUUCGCGGAAGCCGCGCUCGCGCGCGGAAUUAAGUAAUCUCUUUUCUCGCGCGCGCACGACGGUCGCGGAAAACGACGGGAAAGCUGCGCGCGGCCGCAUUACUCGCGUGUCUCGCGAGUUCACUUCCGCCUGGCUUCUCUGCGCCACUUGGACUUUUCGCGAAGUGUCGUCGUUGUCGUCGUCGUCGUCGUCGUCGUCGUCGUCGUCGUCGUCGUCGUUACUGUGUCUGGCAAUUAGCGACGUGCGUCGCGCGAUUUUACACACGUGAAAAAAGAUGGAAUAAAACAGAAAAACUCGCACAUGCAUCCGACAGAUCACUCGUGAAGUUUCGCAAUAUUGUUGAUACCGGUGUGUGUAGCAGACAAAUCCGAGUGCAUAGCGGAGAUACUUUUUGCGGAUAAUUUCGAUGAAAUCGCUGAAUCGCGCCAUCGGCCGGAAACAACGCCGCAGUCCGAGCGGACCUAACCGAGCAUAUCGCGCGCGUGGACUUUUUGUCUGCGGUCGCAUCCGCGUGUGUGUAUAUCGUAGAAAUCGCGUUACCGUUGUCCCGCGUCGUCGUUGUUUCCGCGGGAACAAAAGGAAAAUAGGAAUAAAAGGCGGAGAAAGCCGCCGUCUAAUCCGCCGCGCAAACCGAAACUCGAUUCACCUCGGAGCCGGAACGACCGAUCGAGGUCUCUCGCGACCGCUCGAACGUCGUCAUCGUCGUCGUUGUGGUCGCGGAGCGUCCUGGUGUUAACGCGAGUCGAGUUGACGCGAUAUCCCAGGAGUCGUUCUCGCCGAUCGAUCGUCGAGCCGACACGCGGAAAAUUCGCCAAAGUUUCCCAUCACCUGCCCCGCGCGCGCCGCGCCGCUAAUUUCUCCCCGCGCGGGAAAGACGCCGCGAAACUUUCGCCGCGAUCGACCGGAAGAAUCUGUUGCGAGAUGCGCCGGCGGCCAGCCGAAGGAGGCGGCAGCGGCGGCGGCGGCCGCGGCGGGGACGACGGCGACGGCGGUGGUGUGGAAAUCUUCUUCGAGGUUGAGCCGAGGUUGAACCGAUAGAGACUCGGGAAUACAGCAGUGCUGCCGCACAGUCGCCGGAGGAUUAACUGUUAAUUAGCAGACAUGUAUGCCCACGUGCAUGGGGAUAACGGCAUGUGCUGUUAUCUUCCCACCGUUCUGUAUCUCGAACGAUACCAGGCUCACCGAGCUCUGGAGCUCCUCGAGGAUUACCACGCUAAACUGACGAGGCCGCAAGACAA